rnacentral:rRNA from 1 species
UGGGGAAUAUUGCGCAAUGGGGGAAACCCUGACGCAGCGACGCCGCGUGCGGGAUGAAGGCCUUCGGGUUGUAAACCGCUUUUGAUUGGGAGCAAGCUUUCGGGUGAGUGUACCUUUCGAAUAAGCGCCGGCUAACUACGUGCCAGCAGCCGCGGUAAUACGGAAGGUCCAGGCGUUAUCCGGAUUUAUUGGGUUUAAAGGGAGUGUAGGCGGUUGGUUAAGCGUGUUGUGAAAUGUAGAUGCUCAACAUCUGACUUGCAGCGCGAACUGGCUGACUUGAGUACACACAACGUAGGCGGAAUUCAUGGUGUAGCGGUGAAAUGCUUAGAUAUCAUGAAGAACUCCGAUUGCGAAGGCAGCUUACGGGAGUGUUACUGACGCUUAAGCUCGAAGGUGCGGGUAUCGAACAGG